AAGGCCACAAAAUUAGAAAAGAAACAUAAUGAGUUACAGUAAACAGAAAGAAAGCAUAUCCUCCAUAUUCAAUAUGCCCCAAAGAAAAAUCUCCUUGAAAAUUAAGGAUCAUAAGUAAAAUGAAGACAAAUAGCAUGCAUCAGAUACAAAGAUAGUAAAAGCAGCUGCAACGUUGAGAUAUUGCAAACAGAAAACACAUUGAUACAUUGCAAACAUUGAUACCUUGCAAUCAGCUAGGCAUGUAUGAAUCUUAGAUCCAACAUGUGAAGGACAUGAACCAUUUUGGGGGAUUUAUCUCAAUAUUCCUAAACCCCUUAUCCUAACAGACUAACAAUGAACACUAAAUCGUGUAACUGAUUUUCUCCCACAAAAUAGGAACUUGUAACUAAUCGAUAUGGAUAAAAAAUUUCUCCCCCAAAAACUAACUUUAGCAGGAAUAACACCGUGGCCCAUCGUGCGGGACUCUCGUCUUCCAAUCUUUAUUUUGUCCAUAAUGCUUGAGAUAGACAGUCAGAGUUAAAAUCGUCUUCUGAAAUUCCUUGAACAUUGAGCUCCUUGAUCUUCUUCUACAUUACACAUAUGAUAAACUUCAACAAUAUAACACAAAUGACCUCCAAGAAUGAAUGUUUAUAAAAUUCCUAGUAUUAUUACCGCUACAUCUUCUACUUCAGGCUGCCUAAACGACCUGUUCGACCUCUUAUUAGCCUCAAUCUACACAUCUCCUCUACAAGGCUCAUCGCCAAGCUCUAUAGCAUGCUUCUCCUUUAUUCGAGUAUAUGGUCAGGAACCUCCACCAUGGUUCAAC
rnacentral:lncRNA from 1 species